UGGCUAUAUCCUGCUGAAACACUGGUUCUUAUAUGAUUACUGAAGUUAAGCAAGGUUGAGCCUGGUCAGUACCUAGAUGGGUAACCGCUUAGGUAGACCAAAUGCUGUG